rnacentral:misc_RNA from 1 species
CUGGGAACCACUGCAGUUCCAUUUAAUGUUCAAGUGCAGUCAAAUAUGUUUGCUGCUGUAGGGAGUGGGGGUGUAAUUGCUCAGCCUGUGCAGGAGUCUGUUUCUGAUGCUGAGAAUAUGGCAUAUCAACACCAAUCCCAACUGUGGCAGGGUCAACCCUGUGCUACUGAGUGUGCCUCUCCAAACAAUACAUUGAAUGGACAAGAGG